CAAAAAAUGGCCUUGCAUGGUCAGGGCCUCCUGUUGCCUGAAAAAGGGUAA
rfam:Yokenella regensburgei ATCC 43003 genomic scaffold Scfld157, whole genome shotgun sequence.